rnacentral:misc_RNA from 1 species
GGACUACUCGGGUUUCUAAUCCUGUUUGCUCCCCACGCUUUCGCGUCUCAGCGUCAGUAUCGGUCCAGGAGGCCGCUUUCGCCACCGGUGUUCCUCCCAAUAUCUACGAAUUUCACCUCUACACUGGGAAUUCCGCCUCCCUCUCCCGUACUCAAGCCAAGCAGUUUCAGACGCACUUCCCCGGUUAAGCCGAGGGCUUUCACGCCUGACUUGCAAGGCCGCCUACACGCGCUUUACGCCCAGUAAUUCCGAACAACGCUCGCACCCUCCGUAUUACCGCGGCUGCUGGCAC